GGGUGAGUAACACGUGGGAACGUGCCUUUAGGUUCGGAAUAACUCAGGGAAACUUGUGCUAAUACCGAAUGUGCCCUUCGGGGGAAAGAUUUAUCGCCUUUAGAGCGGCCCGCGUCUGAUUAGCUAGUUGGUGGUGUAAUGGACCACCAAGGCGACGAUCAGUAGCUGGUCUGAGAGGAUGAUCAGCCACAUUGGGACUGAGACACGGCCCAAACUCCUACGGGAGGCAGCAGUGGGGAAUCUUGCGCAAUGGGCGAAAGCCUGACGCAGCCAUGCCGCGUGAAUGAUGAAGGUCUUAGGAUUGUAAAAUUCUUUCACCGGGGACGAUAAUGACGGUACCCGGAGAAGAAGCCCCGGCUAACUUCGUGCCAGCAGCCGCGGUAAUACGAAGGGGGCUAGCGUUGCUCGGAAUUACUGGGCGUAAAGGGAGCGUAGGCGGACAUUUAAGUCAGGGGUGAAAUCCCGGGGCUCAACCUCGGAAUUGCCUUUGAUACUGGGUGUCUUGAGUAUGAGAGAGGUGUGUGGAACUCCGAGUGUAGAGGUGAAAUUCGUAGAUAUUCGGAAGAACACCAGUGGCGAAGGCGACACACUGGCUCAUUACUGACGCUGAGGCUCGAAAGCGUGGGGAGCAAACAGGAUUAGAUACCCUGGUAGUCCACGCCGUAAACGAUGAUUGCUAGUUGUCGGGAUGCAUGCAUUUCGGUGACGCAGCUAACGCAUUAAGCAAUCCGCCUGGG
rnacentral:rRNA from 1 species